rnacentral:misc_RNA from 1 species
AAGUCGUAACAAGGUUUCCGUAGGUGAACCUGCGGAAGGAUCAUUCAAAAGUGUGAAUGGCACUUUAUCAAUAUCCAUUACCCACCUUGUGUGCAAUGUCGUGGGGGAGGACAAUUGGUGACCCUUUGGGGAAGCAAAAGUCCUCUCUUUCAUAUACAAUACCACUCUUUCAGUAUCAGUCUACAAUCUAUUUGGAGUAAUAAAACUCGAAAUACAACUUUCAACAACGGAUCUCUUGGCUCUC